rnacentral:lncRNA from 1 species
CAAAAAUGGGGAAAUGAUUAAUAAAUCUAGACCAGGCGCUGAGCAGACAGAGUCGCCCGUCUGUGUCGAUUAAGGACCGUACCGUUGACUGGCCUGUUGUGGUUGAGACUUUGCAACUAGCCACAUACCCUGGUAUGGGACAGGGUAAGCUUGAACCCGGCUAUUCCAUACGUGAAGAGACAAUCGCGCACUGGGAGUGGAGAGAUGGCGGGAGUAGCAUGUACCCUCCUGGCACAGCGCACGCCUGGUAGGUAAUGUGCUCUCGGGUGGCGCGGACCUGUUCAUGUAGUGGAGGACUCCGUGGGAACGGUUGACGUAUGCAAGGGUUAAGUGCUACAUAUGUCGUGUGGUUAGAGAUCCCCAGCUGGGUAUAAUCGGUUCGAAUCGUCGUUGCUCCUCGGUUAUGGAGACUCAUCCCGGUGACCAUCAUCGUAGUUAGCAAGUGAAAUAUGAGAAUGAAUAAAAUGCAGCUAGUAUAGGCCAAGUGCUUGAAAUAGACUAGGCAAAUAUAGAUGCAGGUAAUAACCUAACUAGUGAAAUAAAACUUGGCUUAAGGAUCAACUGGUAGCAAGCUUUUCUGCAAAAGGAGUCUUUGAUCAUUGAUAAACCUUACCUUGAUUCCCAAUCAACUAGCAUACCCUUGAGAGUCUUUUCUUUAGUCGGGUAAGUCUUGCUGAGUAAUUGCAUACUCAGGGUUUUAUCCCCUGUUGUUUUUGCAGGAGAAGUUUUAUUUCCUUAUCUUUUGGUUAGUUACUUCAUGUGGAGGCCUUGAAGCUUAGAAUGUUUAUGUGUAUCUCUUAUGGAAAGGCUUCACCGUUCCAAUUAUUGUAAUAAGUUAUGCACUUUGGGUACUAUCAGGACUUGUAAUAAAUACAUCUCUUUCUACCUUGUAAAACUUGAGUUCUGGAAUGUAAAGUGUACUUUGUAAAAGCCUUCCGCUCUAUCUCCAAUGUGUGUGUAUCAAAUGUGAUUACUGUAAUAUACCUGUUAUGUGGGAGAUCCUUGGGAUGAUGAGUUCCAGUUGGCGAACUCGAUAGCCUUGUUAAGUUACCCGGUACACGUGCACAGCCACCCGAGGCCAUUAAGGCAAGGAUUGGUGCACGUGGGCCCGAUAACUUGGGAGGGCUGUCACAGCGUGGUAUCGGAGCGAUCCCCCAUUAGCAUGGAUAUUAUAGUAAUCCUUUGAUAAACUUCAAAAUGAUUUUGAGUCUAAAUGGUUUUUAUAAACUUAAGAAUCUAUAAUCAAGGCCUGAUAGUAGAAGUGUAAAAAAAAUAUGUGGUUAAAACUAAGGACUAUCAGGUGGCUUAGUUUAAGAUGCUAACCACUAACCCACAACCUGGGAAGGGUAAUGCAUACAUGUGUAAUGUUAUUUUUAGUACCAUUCAGUUUUGAAUGGAUCGACGCUCAGGUAAAGGUGAGUUGUGAGAGCAUGACCGAACAAACGUCGGUCUAGGGGAGUGCUUAAAUGUGGCACUAGACUAUAUACAUAUUCUACAUAUGUAUAUAUGAAGGUUGCAACGUGGAGUAAUUACUUUUCUAGGAUUCAAUACCCCAUGGAUGUGUAUGGGUAUACAAACAUGGGAGUGCUGAGAAGUGUAAUGCAUAGUUACCACAAUGGACUGCCCUGUGGUUAAAGUGUGGCAGCGGCGCCUAUGCGUGGCUCGGCGCUUAAUGAGGAGCUGGCGUCCAUAUAGAAAUAUAUGGAGUAUAAACUGUGACCAAAUGUGUGAAUUGCAUCAUGGGGUUUGGGCUGUAAUGGAAUUUUCUGCAGGUACACUGACUAAACUCUAGGAAAUUACGACUAGUUAACUCCGGACUGAGUAGGUAUGCCACCGCCAUAGAGCGUGCAAGCCACUAUAUGCUGGCAAGAUUGUGAGAACGAAUAGGACGGACGAGCAUGCAUCAUGACAUAUAACUUUAAGUUAAACCCCCCAUGUAGUAGGUUUAGUACGUGUUUCGUCUACCCUGUUCAUGCUACCUGUCUUUGCCUUUCUAUGCUACCUUUCCCUUUUUUUUAAAAGACUGGAAGCCAAGUUUAGUUGGUGGGCAGAAUACCUUGCGCUGUAGGCAGAAGGACGUUAAGUUCUUGGGUUGAGUUUCGUGUGGUAUUUCGGGCACAUCAUAUUUUGAAAGCCCUUAUGGAAAUAAAGUUCAAUGAGUUCUUAGGUCAGAAUGUAUGCAAAAAAGAGAGAGAGUAUAAUGGAGGAUUUUGAGAGGUUUACACACCUAUCCCAGUAUGGUUUGGAUUUUGUGGAUACUAGUGAGAGGAAAAGGUAAUACUUCCUAUGUGGUUUUAAUGUGAAGCUUCAGCUCCUGAUGACAACCAGUUCAACUGAAGGUUAUAAUAAGGUGGUUAGUCAAGCUGUUUUGGGAGAUAAUAAGGUUCGUCUGCAUCAAGAGUUUAAGUGAAAGAAGUAAAGAAUAUACCCGAUGUUAAGAAGUUUCUAGAGGUGUUCCCCAAGAAUCUGCUUGGUUUACCUCCGGAAAGGGUCGUGGAAUUUGCGAUCGAGUUGCAGUCCGGAACUCCAAUUACCCUAGAAGUAGUAAGAUGAACCAAGAUUUGGAAUAGAGAUUUUGGUGGACCUCUGUCUUAUAAGGCGCAGCUGCCAGAGAAUCUUUCAACAGUGCCCAACAUAUUCCACGUGUAUCAGUUGAAGAGGUUUCUUCGAGUCCCCGAACAUGUUCUUGAGAUUUCAAAUGUCAAUCUUCAAUCGAAUUUAACCUACUCGGAACAUUCCAUAAAGGUUUUGGAUCAAAAGGAUCGGGCCACUCGAAGAAAGUUAUCGAGUUUUACAAGAUACGGUGGAACCAAAACACACGGAAGAUCAAGCCACAUGAGAAUUGGAGGAGAAUCUAGAAAAGCAUGUUCCUGAGUUUCUAGUGUCUUGUAAACCUAGGUCUGGUGUGUUUCGUUCUUAAUGUAAACCAACAGAGGUAUGCCUCUUGUCUUUUAAAAGUAAUGGGGAAAUAAACCAGUGAUACACUUCCUUUUCCAUUACUUGGCUUAGAGUUUAAAUCUCGGGACGAGAUUCCUUUUUAGGGGGGAAGGAUGUAACACCCCUGGUGUUACGAUUACUAAAACUCUGACAUGUCAUCAUCAACAUUUGCAUUAACUUGCUUGAUACACCUAGAAUGCAUUCACUAGGUCAACAAUUUGCAAAAUUGGGAUGUUUUGUAUUGAGUGUAGGGCUUAGUGUUAGGGCUUUGAUGGUUUGGAAUCCAUAUUGUUCUAAGGGACAUUGUACCAAACUUGUGGAGCAACAUUUGGAGCACCAAUUUGAUUAAGCAACUUGGCCUCAGAAGCAUUUGGAACUUGGAGAAAAGGGCGAGGUUGUGUCGUUUCGAAGAGAGCAAGAGAAGUUCAGAGACCUUGUUUGAAAUCUAGUAUAAGCAAACAACUUUUAAACCAAGGGAAAUUUGGACAUGAGCUAUAUACACCAAAGUUUGGUUUGAGCUUAAGGUUAACCUUGUUUUUAGUAGGAUGCAAUAAAUUGAUGAAGCACUUGAAGCAGAUCAAGUCCAAUUUCAACUAUAAACUAGCCCAAAAGUGGAUUUUAAGAUUUAGCUAUGUUUUGCUAAAAGUCUGUAUAUAAAAGUCGUGGAGCUUGGAAAAGUGAAUAAUUUUCAUAUUUGGAGCUCUCCAAGUGGUGUGGGAGAAUUUGAAGUAAUUUGCAAAAGUUCAGAUUUGGGUCAUUUUGGAAUCAGCCCAAAACAAUUUUGUUUAUCUGUUUUUGGAUCCCUGUAACAUUUAAUCCAUGAGUAUUUUGGAAACAGUUGCUAUAACAAACCUGUAGAGUAACUAUAGGAGAACAAUGUUUAUGAAAUGUAGCAGCCCUAAAACCAUAUGCAACUAGGAGAAAAAGGUGUUCAAAGUGGGACUGUCAGACUUCUGGAUUUUCAGACUUCGAAUAGUUGCCUAAUUCUGAAAUCAGUGUUUUUAGUGCCAUUUUGGGGCUGUGUGUUGCCUGUUCUAGGCAGCUUUGGACCAUGGUUGCUAUGGGAGAGUUGAAGAGCAUAUGUCAGUGAACAAAUUUUGUUAUGUGCAUUAGGCCUGAUCUGACCCAGAACAUGGAGUAAAAGUUACUCAAAAGUGGGCUGUCAGUGUUUACAUGGACUGAAUUUUGUUCAGUUAACAGACAACUGAAUUUCAGCGAUUGGUGCCCUAUUUAGAGCACUUGUGUGGCCAUUCCAUUAGGUCUUAAACUAUGAAUUAUAUAGAAACAUUGGAGAUCAUAAGUUAGUGAACAAGUUUCCUUAAAUAAGUUUGAUUUGGUGCUGCACAAAAUUUGGAGUAAAUUGUGCCCAAACUCUCUCUGUCUGGUGUUGAUUUCAGUUUUUGUUUCAGCUAGCUGAACCUGAAUUCUUGUAUUUUCACACCAUUUUGGAGCACCAUAACUUUUGAUCCAUGAAUGUUUGACCUAAGGCUGCUGCAGCAAACAUUUAAAUCUAUGUGUUGGGAACAAUCUUUGUUAACUAAGAUUGGCAUGUAUUGCUUGCACUAGUGAGGAUCAAAGGGGUUAAAGGUAGGUCUUCAGUUGAUUAGUGCUGAAUUCUGUUUCAAGUGACUGGAAACUGGAUUCAGUUUUUGGGAGCAGAAAGCUCUGCACGCUGCAACCACUCGCCCAUUGUUUUAGUGAAUUGAAGUUGUGCUUUAAGAUGCGGAAGGCUGGUAGUUGAAAGGGGAAUCCAAGCCAAUCCAGUAACUGGGCGUGUGGGGCUGAAUUUGUUUCAGUUUGGACAGCAAGGGGGAGGGGGUCGGCAUGCUCAAACUGCACAAAUUUGUGCUGUCAGGCAAAAGAGCAUUGCAUGUUGUUCAGUAAUCCAGACUGAAUUUCAGUCAUGUUGCCUCAACUUUGAACUUCCUUUGGGACUAUUCUAUGCAGUUGUGAGACAUGCCUUGUGUAGCAAGGUUGGAGACCAAGUAUUAGUGAACAACUUUACUUAGAGGUGCUUAGCUUGGUGCUACACAAAGUUGGGAGUAAAUCUAUUCCAAAGUGCUUUCCGUCAGGUUCUUGUUUUCAGUUAACUGAAAACGAUAUUCAGUGGAUUGGGUUCACUUUGAGCAUUUGUAACUUUUGUUCUGUGUGAGCUAGACUUUGGAUUGUUGUAGUAACCUGAUAGUGCUAUGGUUGGGGAGCAUUUUUGGCCAACUGGGUUGGUCUGGUGUCAUUGAAAUUUGUGAGAAAAUGAGGAUUAACAGGAAGGGUGCAGUGUGGCCUAAGGUUUAGAUUCAGAGAACUGAACUUUGUUCAGUUGACGUGGGUGCAAUGAGUUUUAUUCGGUCUUUGGAGCUGUUUUGUGACUGAUUCAUGGUGUUAUGGCCUACAGCCCGUACAACAAUUAGUUAGAGGAUAAUAUGGUAAACAAUUGGUGUUAAAGUUGAUCCCUUUGUUACCACUUGAAGUAGUGAGAUUUUGGUAGGAUAACAGUAGAGGUUCAGUCUAGGUGGCUGAAACCGUGGUUCAGUCUGUUCGAAUUCAGUUUGGAGAGCUGGAGUUCAUGGUGUUUUAAGCUCCUCACUCCCUAUGUUUAGCUGGGGCUUUGUAACUGUGGUUGGAUGGCGUAUGACAGUGAACCAACAUAGGUAAGGGAAGGACUCGUUGUAGAUAACAGAAGUGGGCAAAAGUUGAUGCAAAAUGGAUAGAGUUAAGCGGUGGCCCACCUGUUAUGCGUCUGUCUGUUCUGUCCUAAUAAGACCGUCGCCACCUGAAUUCGCCGUAUGCCCAUGCAUGGCCACGCAGCUGCUUGCCUCUUGCGAUGGCUUGUGACGUGUCGUGAGUUGGGAAAUAUCUUCAUCCGGAUAGGCUAGAUGGAGUGCGUUCUCUGUUUUUCCUUUGUCUAACACCGCCGUUGAGCUUCUUGCGUUUCCUGGCUGAGAGUUCAUCCUGCUCACCGUGUUGAAGCGCAGCCCUUUUUUUUCGUGCGUUGCACGGAGUCGCCGCGCUUGCAGCCCCGUUCGCGGCACCACGCUUAGCCCCAGCAGCUUCUUCCGUGCGUCGUCUUGUUUUGCUUCGCAUUGCCGGCUUUCUUGCCUCCAGCAGCGAACGCACUGCCAUCCUUGCUUGGCCUCACAUCCUCCGCAGCUGGGCGUCACCAGGACGCUAUGCACGCUGCUCCCGCAUCUGGAGCUCGCCCACCCUACUCGCUCAUCGUCUGACCAUGCGCACUCGCUGUCGGUCGCGCUCGGCUGCUCGUCGUUGUCCUGCCUCCUCGUCCACGCCGCAGUCGUCAUCGACCCUCUCCAACCUCGUCUGCGUUGCGACCUCCAUCCUGCCUGCUCGCGGUUUCCCCCUCUGCUCAAACGUCGGCGCCCGUGGUGAAGGUAGACAGCCGCUCUAGCGUUUGGAUUUAUGGGUAGGUUUACUGUGUCUAAAACAGUGCUGAGUAAAAGUUUUAGUGUAUUUAGAGUUGGUUUGUCUAGAGAACAUUGAAAUAGCUAAAAGAGGAAAUAUAAAAGCCACACAAGUAGUGUUAAUAUAUGUUGUAGCGAAGUUAGACCCUAUAAAUUGUUGGGUAGCAAAUUUAAUGAACCUUAGUAUGUUUAGUACUCUAGUUUGUCUAACUAAAUUCAGUUUAGACCUUUAGAUAAAAUAUUAAGUUAAGUAUGGGUAAGCUUGUCAUGCGCUUAGUUAGAGGUGUUUAUAUUCCCCACCUCUCCUUUAUGAGAGUUUGCAUUUCAUAUCAUUACAUAAGCAUCCAUGUAUCUGUAAUUGACUUGUAGAACACCUAGAAGAAGUGGUGUUUGAACAAGAAGUCUACUCCAGUGCCUGUUCAUCAAGUGGAUGGAGCCAUCUAACUGAUCAUCGUGUUAGAAGUAUCUAGAACCUCUUCUCUGCAACAAAGGCAAGCCCCGGUGCAUUUGCCCCUUCCUUGUGUUUUAAAUGCUUUUUCACCUUAUCUGAUGCAUUAGGUGAUAGGAGUUGUGUGAUGAAAAAUUGAUGCAUUACCAUUCCUUGGAAACUCCUUAAUCCCUGUUUUAUAAAGAGAACUGAUAUUGCUUAGCCCUGCUUAAAAACUGAAAAAUCAUUUGUUUUUAAAAAGAAUGAUUGUGGAACAUUGGUUAUGGGCUUUUUAUUCAAAAAUCAAAGGAAACUAAGGUGAUGACUCCACUUCGGCCGGAGUGGGCUCAUCAUUGGAAAAGAGUACCCCUGCCGGGUACCAAAAAUGGGGAAAUGAUUAAUAAAUCUAGACCAGGCGCUGAGCAGACAGAGUCGCCCGUCUGUGUCGAUUAAGGACCGUACCGUUGACUGGCCUGUUGUGGUUGAGACUUUGCAACUAGCCACAUACCCUGGUAUGGGACAGGGUAAGCUUGAACCCGGCUAUUCCAUACGUGAAGAGACAAUCGCGCACUGGGAGUGGAGAGAUGGCGGGAGUAGCAUGUACCCUCCUGGCACAGCGCACGCCUGGUAGGUAAUGUGCUCUCGGGUGGCGCGGACCUGUUCAUGUAGUGGAGGACUCCGUGGGAACGGUUGACGUAUGCAAGGGUUAAGUGCUACAUAUGUCGUGUGGUUAGAGAUCCCCAGCUGGGUAUAAUCGGUUCGAAUCGUCGUUGCUCCUCGGUUAUGGAGACUCAUCCCGGUGACCAUCAUCGUAGUUAGCAAGUGAAAUAUGAGAAUGAAUAAAAUGCAGCUAGUAUAGGCCAAGUGCUUGAAAUAGACUAGGCAAAUAUAGAUGCAGGUAAUAACCUAACUAGUGAAAUAAAACUUGGCUUAAGGAUCAACUGGUAGCAAGCUUUUCUGCAAAAGGAGUCUUUGAUCAUUGAUAAACCUUACCUUGAUUCCCAAUCAACUAGCAUACCCUUGAGAGUCUUUUCUUUAGUCGGGUAAGUCUUGCUGAGUAAUUGCAUACUCAGGGUUUUAUCCCCUGUUGUUUUUGCAGGAGAAGUUUUAUUUCCUUAUCUUUUGGUUAGUUACUUCAUGUGGAGGCCUUGAAGCUUAGAAUGUUUAUGUGUAUCUCUUAUGGAAAGGCUUCACCGUUCCAAUUAUUGUAAUAAGUUAUGCACUUUGGGUACUAUCAGGACUUGUAAUAAAUACAUCUCUUUCUACCUUGUAAAACUUGAGUUCUGGAAUGUAAAGUGUACUUUGUAAAAGCCUUCCGCUCUAUCUCCAAUGUGUGUGUAUCAAAUGUGAUUACUGUAAUAUACCUGUUAUGUGGGAGAUCCUUGGGAUG